UGCGAAGAGCAGAAUUUGACCGAUCCUAGGAGGAAGGGCCGGCUAAUCUCGUGCCAGCAGCCGCGGUAAUACGAGAGGCCCAAACGUUAUUCGGAUUUACUGGGCUUAAAGAGUUCGUAGGCGGCUUGGAAAGUGGGGUGUGAAAGCCCUCGGCUUAACCGAGGAAUUGCGCUCCAAACUCCCAAGCUUGAGGAAGCUAGAGGUGAGCAGAACAGAUGGUGGAGCGGUGAAAUGCGUUGAUAUCAUCUGGAAUACCGGAGGCGAAGGCGGCUCACUGGGACUUUUCUGACGCUGAGGAACGAAAGCCAAA
rnacentral:rRNA from 1 species